UACGUAGGGUGCAAGCGUUGUCCGGAAUUAUUGGGCGUAAAGAGCUCGUAGGCGGUUUGUCGCGUCUGCUGUGAAAACUCGGGGCUUAACCCCGGGCCUGCAGUGGGUACGGGCAGACUAGAGUGCGGUAGGGGAGACUGGAAUUCCUGGUGUAGCGGUGAAAUGCGUAGAUAUCAGGAAGAACACCCGUGGCGAAGGCGGUUCUCUGGGACGGUACUGACGCUGAGACGCGAAAGCGUGGGGAGCGAACAGG
rnacentral:rRNA from 1 species